rnacentral:piRNA from 1 species
UGGAGUUGAUGGCCCAGCGUGGUGGCU